ACAGUAUGUCGGCGAUUUACCGAUGUGACCUCAUUGAGAUCAGGGACCAACUGAACUAAGUAUCUUAUCUCUUUAGUAUUAAUAACCAUAUCGGCUAAAGGCCGACAUAACUCAUCGUAAAUUGGUUAAUAGCUGAGAUGAGCAUCAUGCUUUAAGAACAACUCUGGACAAAUCAAACAAACCAAAUAUCAGAUUGAAGAGGU
rnacentral:lncRNA from 1 species